rnacentral:rRNA from 1 species
GACGGAGGGUGCAAGCGUUGUUCGGAAUUACUGGGCGUAAAGCGCGGGCAGGUGGCCUUUUAAGUCCUUUGUGAAAUUCCGGAGCUCAACUCCGGACAUGCAUAGGAUACUGGAAGGCUAGAGACUGGUAGAGGCGAGCGGAAUUCCUGGUGUAGCGGUGAAAUGCGUAGAUAUCUGGAGGAAUACCGGUGGCGAAGGCGGCAUCCUGGACCGGCAUUGACGCUGAACAGCGAAAGCUAGGGGAGCAAACGGG